GCCUGAUUGAUGGCUUUGAAAAAUGCAUUAGCAACAUCCAAAGCUUAUAUUUAAAGUUUGAUGCUUUCUCCAAGUUCAGACACGUCAUAGAGCUUUCCAGAGACCAUUGACGCAGCUUUUAUUAUUUAGUUUUGCUUUAUUUGGCAGUUUUGAGCUCCUAUUCUUUGUUUACAUCUGUACUGUAAAGUGAAACCUGGAAUUGGGCCCCCUACAAGUAUACAAUGUUUCGUCGAUGAUUUUGAUGAUUUUAUACAAUUGAGUACUCAAGUUUUAAUAGAGAUCUUUUACUUCUAGUCUGCUCAGUUGUCCGAAUUAAAAUAAUUCCCUCUUUCUCAUAAGGUAUUAAAAUGCUGCAUUAAUUGUAAGCUAACUGAAAGCUGUAGCUUAUCAAAGGUAACUCCUCUUAACCAGGUUAACAUCUUAGUAACCUUAAGUAUGACACCAUUUUGACUUUGAGCUUUUAAGUAAAAGGUAGCAGCAUUCCUGAGUUAUAGGGUGAAACACCCGGUUCAGAACAGAGAUCUGUAGUAAUUGAGUUCUGUAAAACUUGAUGGUUCUCUAAACGUUUGAGUGCUCAGGCUUGAUUUGUACACAAUACAAGAUGUCUGAAAUCCUCACUUAGAAUUUAAGGGUAUUGCUUGCUCUUUCAACUUUAUCCUUUUAAAAUACUAGUGAUCUUUUAAUUGUGUAUCAGGUAUUUUCACUAACCUUGGAUCAUUGAAUCUUAAACACGAUAACAUAGAAUAUCUGAACUUUGGACUUGUUUUCUAAAGUAUAUGGCCUUUAGUUCUCAUGGAACUAAAUAUAGUGAUUCAAAAAUCAAAACUUAGUGUUUUGGGAGUUUUUUUCCCUCUUUGGGGUAUAUGGUUUUUUGGGGGUUUGGGGUUUUUUUUUUUUUUAAAAGCAUAAUGCUGUAAAAACUGUCCACAAGUUUCUGUUUUGCUGGUGAUUGGUUUAAAACUGAUUUUUAUGUAUCCAAAUGCUAGCACAAAUUAGAUUGACUAUACUGGUGACUGUAGUAGUUAAUGUAACACAUUUUGUAUAAAGUACAUUUUAUACAGUAUUUAAACUAAUUCAGAUGAAGUUUUAUUUCUUGAAAACAAUUAUUUCCUUUUUGUUUAUUAGCAUGUGUAUAAGCACAGAUCACAUGUUCAUAAAUAAAGUUAACAUUCU
rnacentral:lncRNA from 1 species